rfam:Dipodomys ordii contig_76728, whole genome shotgun sequence.
AGGAAGGUGGCUCAGUGUUAGAGUGUUUGCCUUGCAUGCAUGUGGCCCUGGGUUCAAUUCCUCAGCACUGCUU